rnacentral:rRNA from 1 species
UACGAAGGGGGCUAGCGUUGCUCGGAAUCACUGGGCGUAAAGCGCACGUAGGCGGCUUCUUAAGUCAGGGGUGAAAUCCUGGAGCUCAACUCCAGAACUGCCUUUGAUACUGAGGAGCUUGAGUCCGGGAGAGGUGAGUGGAACUCCGAGUGUAGAGGUGAAAUUCGUAGAUAUUCGGAAGAACACCAGUGGCGAAGGCGGCUCACUGGCCCGGUACUGACGCUGAGGUGCGAAAGCGUGGGGAGCAA